UUGAUAUUCCAGAUGCGUCCUACCAAAGGACGAAGAAGAAAAUCCUUAAGACAGUAGGAGAACGAAGAAGGUAGUUUAAGUUAGAUUUGACCUCCAAAUAGGCUCUAGCACAAGGCAAGGAGGAGGGCGAUGACAUUGUCUGUGAGAAGUACGAUAUCAACCAAGGAAAAUGGAACCAAUUUUGGCAGAGUCGUAGAGACCCUUCAUGGGAGGAUGUUAGAAGAAGGCUUAGACUAUUCAGAAACUAAACACUUCCCCUCACGUGUUGUCUCGUGGGGUUAUGAUUUACUAGAAGAAAAGUUAAUGGAGGAAAAACAAAAGAAAAAAUUGGAGCAAGUAGCCUAAUCUGGAAGAAAAAAAAAACAAUCGUUGAUCCUUCAUCUCCCAUUAGACAACACACGAAGUGGAAGAUGACUGGCACAAAAAAAAUAUGAUCAAAUUACAUUUGAGGUGGCACGCGAAAUUGCAGAUAGGAUUGAUUCCUUUGCAGAGCAGUCAGCACAGGGCAACUUUGUCACCCAUGGACAUCAGGAUGUAUUGACUGCCACCAUUGGGCAACCAGAGCACUCCGAUCGUGUCCGUGUUGCAAGAGCCAGUGUGACAAUUAGACAAUACUUUGGACCAGCUUCAGCAAGCUCCCGCACGUCUAUGUUGAUCAACCCAGAAGAGCUACAUCAAUUAACAGAAAAUAUUAUGGAGUAGCUAACACAAAAAAUCAGGGAUGAGUUGGAGCAAUCAAUCACUGAAAAAGUGACUCAACAAUCGAGGUUUGUCUUUCUGUUGCCUGUGUCAGCAUAAAGAGAAGUUGUGUCGAUCCCUCGGGACAGGACCCAAACACAGGUGCAUUAGACAUGUGUGUAUUGUAUGUUGAUGACAAUCCUCCUCGCCUGGUUGCCCUUGGAAGAGUUUAUGAGGGAUUGACAAUCGUCCACAACGUCCCUUUGGGCAAUGAUCAAGUGAAGGUUGGUGUUGGGGAAGUUCGAGAUACUGUUGCCCGCGCCCCUGUACCUACUUAAGAGGUUCAAUUAGUGGGCCAGAUCCUUAAAACCUUUCAUGCUUGGCUAACACUUCUUAUACAACCUUUUUCAAAAUAUGUAUUUCCUCUUGUUGUGUUUGUUAUUAUUAAAAAAGGAUUUGUUACAAAAAAAAGUGUUGACUGUCAUUGACUUAUGUUUAUUAACUGUGUAGGAUAAACAUGAACCUGAGGGACCGACGAAACCUAUAGAUAGGCUAAAACCUGAUGACGAUCCCCUAUACCAGAUGACAUUGAUGAUCCCACAGCUUUUCCUUAAGCCUAUGUAGGUGUCGUGGGAUUCAACUAUGUUUGGGGUGUAUAAUGAUGAUGUCCCCUUGUACACAUAGCAUGAAGAUCUUUCUGAAAUAACACGCGAUGGUCAAUGUCUCAACAUCUUUGUUAUGCAAAUGAGGAUUUUGUAAGUCACUUUAUAUUAUAGUCCAUUACAUAACUGAUUGCUUUAAAUUGAUGCAUAAUUUACUUUAUUUAACAACAAUAGGCAUAUGAAUGAUUUAAGUCUGUGAUCGGGGAAUGCCUUUGUGUAUGGAUUCCUUGAGCCAUAGUCCAUACAGAGAUUUGGGAAAUCGUAAUUUAAAUCUGAGGAUUAUAUUAAGAAACGAAUACAAAAUUCACAUAAAGAUGUCUACCUAGUAUCCUACUUGAAUGGGUAAGUAAAAAUGAACAAAUCAAUUUAAAUAAUGUAUGCACUAUAAUAACUUAAUGUUCUCCAAUGUAGUGCACAUUGGAUACUGGUCGUUAUAUGUCCUAAGGACAAUGUUGUCAUCUGGCUUUGUUCCUUGCACAAUACGCCUGACAACUACUUGAAAAAAGUUAUUAAUAGGUUAGUUGUAUUUUGUAAUACAUUUACUUUAUCAUUAGUAUUUGACAUCAAUAUUUUGAUUGUACAAUAUGCAUGCAUGUUUCUCUUAACCAAUGCUUUGAAGGGAUUCAACGAUAAUCAAGGAAGUAAAUCCAAGGCUACUGCUAAAUGGAUUCUCAUUAAAAGUAAUAAGCAAAGAGGAAACACUAAGUGCGGCUAUUAUGUGAUGCAUUGGAUGUCAACAAUAGUCCUGGGAGGUUUCUAGGAUAAUUGAGAAAUGGUAAUUGGAUGAGGUACUAGAGCAACUGACAAAGGCCAUGAUACAUGAAUCAACAUUCACCUACACUUUAUGCCACUAGGGAUACUCUUUUUCUCUCUUGCUGAGUGUAUUUCUUUUCAAUAUUGUUUUCCUUUUUUAUUGUUUGUUUUACCUUUCUGUGUCAUUUCUUGAAAACCUCAAACAAAAUAAUUUUCUAUAUGAAUGUAUUUAGUUCUGAUUUGCACAAGGCUGGUGUUUGUUGCAUAUUUGUUCGUUCAAAAUAAAUAGUUAUGGAGAUGGGUUUUAUGCACGAAGAGCAUGAGAGUACAGUCCCUAUCCAAGAAACUCCAACAUCUGUACAAAUUUGAAGAAUAGUGAAAUGGCACAUAGACUCUCCUUUUUUAAGGUUAUCAUCAUUUACACAUUUUCCUUCAAGUGGUUUUUUUCAAUUUAUUAGGAACUUACAUGCUAGGGAGGACUAUUUUAUUGAUUUGUUUGGUUACUUCUAGAUUUGUUAUGCAGAGGGACACACCAUCCACGUAUCGAAGUAUUCAAAGAGAGAAAUAAGUUUAUCUUUACAAGGAUAAACUAUCCUCAAGAGAUGAAAAACAAAUAAAACACUAAGGGUUAACCAAGGAAACCAGGAAUGAAGCAAGAAUUCCUCAUACAUCUGCGAUUAAUUUUUUUUCAAUCUUUAAGGACAUCGUU